rnacentral:rRNA from 1 species
CACGUAAGGGGCGAGCGUUGUUCGGAAUUAUUGGGCGUAAAGGGCGUGUAGGCGGUUUCGUAAGCUUGGUGUAAAAGGCGUUGGCUCAACCAACGUUUUGCGCUGAGAACUGCGAAGCUAGAGUUCAGGAGAGGGAACUGGAAUUCCAGGUGUAAGGGUAAAAUCUGUAGAUAUCUGGAAGAACGCCAGAGACGAAGGUGAGUUCCUGGCCAUGGACUGACGCUGAGGCGCGAAAGCGUGGGGAG